GGGGAUAUAACUCAGUAAAGUGCUUGCCUUGCAUGCACAAGGCCCUGGGUUUAAUCCCUAGUACCACCA
rnacentral:tRNA from 1 species